ensembl:snoRNA small nucleolar RNA SNORA2/SNORA34 family
UUGGCCCUGAUCAAGAUUGGCAGCUUGCAGUAGCUGUUGGUUUCAAACAGAGCCGACAUGAAGUUCUUCCUGUGGUCUGUUGGUUUCCCAGAGAGUUACAACAGGGAUAAUCAAUUCAGUUGGAAGGAACAAAA